rfam:Zostera marina strain Finnish scaffold_13, whole genome shotgun sequence.
GUCAAGAUGGCCGAGUUGGUCUAAGGCGCCAGUUUCAGGUGCUGGUCCGAAAGGGCGUGGGUUCAAAUCCCACUCUUGACA